CCCGCCCCUUUCUAGGGGACCACCCCCCAUGGAGACACCCACAGAUCCGCCAAUGGUGGGGAUGUAACGGACCUGCCAUCCCCCCAAUUGGGCUUCCUUGCCUGACCACUCACGAACCAAAGUUCCCCCACGGACUUGAUAUUCGCCCACCACUUUUCCUGGUCCCUCGACUUUGAAUGGAAUAGCGUAAACCCCCUCAACAAUCCCAGCCAUAAAACUAGCCCUUCAUGGGAGGCUUACUGCCUUAGCCACAGCAGCAACACAC